rnacentral:misc_RNA from 1 species
GUGUCAUUUGAGGAGAAAAAGGAGCAAUUAUUUGAAAUGGUAAGCAUCCCUGGGUGGUUCCCUGUGGAUACAAGGCUUGGAAGCCUGUCUGUUCAUUUGGACACACCACAAUGCUUUUCUGCAGAGAUGUAUUCUGCAGACCUUAACAUAGCCGGAAAACCUGAAGAUGAUAAGGUCAAUCUAGCUCGUGAAACCCUUAAAGGUCUGUUGGCUCAUUGGAUGGCGAAAAGAAGGCAAAGACUUGGAUCCCAAUCUUCAGCUAAUGGGG